rnacentral:misc_RNA from 1 species
GAUGAAGAACGUAGCGAAAUGCGAUAAGUAAUGUGAAUUGCAGAAUUCAGUGAAUCAUCGAAUCUUUGAACGCACAUUGCGCCCGCCAGUAUUCUGGCGGGCAUGCCUGUUCGAGCGUCAUUUCAACCAUCAAGCCCUGCUUGCGUUGGGGUCCUGCGGCUGCCCGCAGGCCCUGAAAACCAGUGGCGGGCUCGCUAGUCACACCGAGCGCAGUAAUACAUCUCGCUUUGGGCGUGCGGCGGGUUCUUGCCGUUAAACACCCCCUUUUUACCAAGGUUGACCUCGGGUCAGGUAGGAAUACCCGCUGAACUUAAGCAUAUCAAUAAGCGGAGGA